GUAUCUACUGUUCUACAAAACUUCUCUUCCUGAAGAAUGCCUCACAGCACAUUAACAACUACUCUCACUACCCACCACUGAAACGCAGCCAUCUCUGGGGAGGGAUGUGUCAGUCCUUCAAUACUGUUUAACACCAGAACAUCACAUAACAGUUUAAAAGGGAAAGAAGCAUACUAUAUCCAACUGAAAUAACAAGAGGCAGGUCAUGAGUGAUAAAUAUAUGCUGCCUAAUCAGAACUGGCCAGAAUGUAACGGUCAGCACUUCUACCUUUGCGUCAUGGGAUUGUUCCUGACCACAAAAGGCUAGGCAGUAUACAAAUGUGAAGUUAAAUUAAUUUAGAUUCAAUACACAAAGUAACUUUACAUUUAACAGAUAGCUAGAAUGGGGAUUACUGGUAUCUAAUCCUUAGAAUUACUCAUCAGGUUUUUGUUUAAUUUUAGUAUAUUACUUUAAUAGGUUUCAUAUUAGUUGUACAUGCACAUAACAGGGCAUAACAUCAAGUUAUUCAAAUUCAUUCACACUUUUUUAUUGUAAAACAAAGACAAAACAAGAUUGAGGGUCUCUAAAAUUACCCAACAGGAAACAAGACAAAUAUUGUAUUGUAAGUUACAGUUGCAAUAUGGAUUUUUGGGGGGGGGAGGUCUUAAUGUUCUGGGUAAAAACAUAUUUACGCAAAAUAGCUGCUUUUGCCCCAUCAUGCUGCUUUCUCCGAUAAGAUUUCCAUUUUCUAGUCAGAUAUGCUAUAAAAAUUGUAUUAUCUAAUUUUGAGUUCAGUUUACCUCACAAUUCAUUUCUAAUAAAUCAAAUGUUCCACGGUGUACAGUAGCAAAGAACAGAAGGAAAUGAUGCUUAAAUCAGUGUAUGAUACAAGACGCUCUCAACUUUGCUUUCUUUGAAUUUACAUAUUUUAUGAUCUUGAAAAGAUACCAGGCACCUUCAUCAAAGCCAGAGAGCAUUUUUAUUCUGCUUUAAUAUACACCUCUACCCCGAUAUAAUGGUGUC